rnacentral:rRNA from 1 species
UUAUUUUAGCGGCGGACGGGUGAGUAACGUGUGGGCAACCUACCUUUUACUGUGGAAUAAUCGUUGGAAACGACGACUAAUACCGCAUACGGGUUCUUGAAGGCAUCUUCUAAGAAAGAAAGGAUUUAUUCGGUAAAAGAUGGGCCCGCAUCUGAUUAGCUAGUUGGUGAGAUAAUAGCCCACCAAGGCAACGAUCAGUAGCCGACCUGAGAGGGUGACCGGCCACAUUGGGACUGAGACACGGCCCAAACUCCUACGGAAGGCAGCAG